GGAGCUUGCAAGAGCUGGCAAUGAAUCAGCAGCCAGUCAAGCAUAUAAUAUAUGGCAGCACCGAAAUCCUGACUGGAGUCGAGUUUGUGGAGCAGCUUUCGCUUUUGGGGCAGAAGAUGGGACUUGGGAAUGUUGCUGCUGCUGCCCCUCCUCCUUCAGGUCGUUAACUGAACUCCCUUCUGUAGAAUUUCUUUGUCCAUUG
rnacentral:misc_RNA from 1 species